AUGUUGUAAUUAUGAUCCUAUCUCUUACAGAGAAGCAAAUCGUGAAGUGAAAGCACUGGCUACCUUGGAACAUUCUAACAUUGUUCGCUACUGUACGACUUGGGCUGAGUAUGCCAAUUGGGUCGAUGGAGGCUACAGCACAGAGUUUUCGGUCCUGUCUAAAAUCUCAGAAGACUGACAAUUAUUCAGACCAGGGAGAUGGAUCUACACAUGUAACAAAGCAAUCAGAUUUAGACCUGUCUGAAACAGCCAGCGAAGACCAAGCAAACCACUCAAUGACCGAUUCCAGCUCAAGCAGUAAGCAAGGGAUUUCAUCUGAUCAGCUGACCUCAUUUAUAGAUGAAAUCACCAGGUGAAUGACUGAAACACCUGGCAAAGUAUACUCAUGACCAAUAACCCACCACCGCCCCUAAAUGCAUCAUUCAUGCCAGUGUACCAACCUCGCAACUUGUCACAAGUGAAGAACACAAUUCGUCGAGCAAGGGACGUGACUGUUUUGAAACGGGGUGCGUUGGUGCCAACACAUAUGAUGGGUGACGUUCUUCCCAGAUUUGUCACCCAUAUGGAGACUGGACCCACAACCCUUCUGGUGGUGCCAACACAUAUGAUGGGUGACGUUCUUCCCAGAUUUGUCACCCAUAUGGAGACUGGACCCUUCUGGUGGUGGCAGAACCAGAAAUGGUUGAAGAGGCCAAGGCAGUCAUUAAAAUCAAACACCAAGGAGCUAUGGCACCACGUUUGACCUGGGCAAUUGUUAUGUUUCACCCCUUGUUUUCCGUCAUGUAGCUUUUCAAGAGGCACUUGUCCUUCUCCUGGCAUUCUUCAAACUGUUCUUUCACACCAUCCUUUCACUCCUUCUCCAACUGUCACCAGCAAUCUUCUGCGGCUAUUGAGGGUUGUAAUCCAGUCUGUGCUGCCGCAAGCCAGGAUUGUCAUUAGCUGGAACCACAUCAGGAACAAUGUGAAGCACAAGAUGGGGUCAGAGGGUGACCAAUCUGUGGCCGAUUAGCAGCAGGACAUCCAAGAGCUCUUGGCCUUCGAAGUCAAGGAGUGACAACGAAUGCACACCGGAGAGAGAGUGUGUCCACCGGAGAGAGAGUGUGUCCACCGGAGAGAGAGUGUCCACCGGAGAGAGAGUGUGUCCA